CUCGAUCGGCGUUAGUGACCGUCAGCACAUGGCACAGAGUGUAAUUUAAAAUAUUAUAUUAAAUAAAAUAUUCAAAAUGGCGUAAUCAUAGAUGCUAUUUGUCAUCGACUCAUUGUAGAUUCACGGGACAACUUGCAAAAAUAUCCAAGACCUCUGGACCACCCAUCAAAUUCAGAGGAGAUGCUAGGUGCACCCCGCACUUAAAAGUAAAAGACAAAAAUGUUCCUUAGUUUUUUUAAAAAACUUUUGCGUACCCAGAAACCUUUUUUCAUGCCAUGACUGUGCUUUCUCCUUCUUCCGUCUGUUCUUCUUCUUCUUCAGCAGCCCAGCCCUUCUCCUUCGAGUCCCUGUGUCGUUCUUCUCCAGCCCUGUUGAUUCAGCGUGCGUGGUGGUGUCUUCUUCUUCUUCGUCCCCUUGGUUUUGCGCGUUUCGUCGGCAUUGUCAAGAUCAUGGUUAGGACUAGAGGCUUAGGUCGUGCCUUAGGUAGGGUUAUUGGCAGAGCUCUGGGAAGAGAGGAUCGUCAUGAUUCAGAUGAUGCUCCCCAGCGGUGAAGGCCUACCGCAUCGGCAUGUAGGCAACGGGUUGUUGCUCCUGCUACUGAGGAUGACCCUGUCAUUGCUGUAGACGUACAUGACCCUGUUGGUGAGGAUGACCCUGUUGGUGAUGCAGAUGAGCCUAUGGUAGCUGCAAGCGCUGGUGCAGACGUAUAUGCACCUGGUGCAGACACUGGAGCAGAGGCUGGUGCAGAUGAGCCUGAGGGAUUUCCAGGUGGACCGAGCGACCCAUCAGUGCUUACCGAGUAUGCUGAGCAUGUUGCAGCCAACGUAUGGACCAAAGAGAACAUCCUGAGUUGAAGUUAUCCUCCCAUGGGAGGAAGGUGCAGAAAUUAGGUAGGUCUGUCCCUACAAUUGAAGGGCUAGUUGUUGGCACAGGACUAAGUCCUUUGAUCGCGUGUUCAGUAGACACUGGUGAUCGGAGACUUAUAUCCUCGUUUGUGGAGAGGUGGCACGGGGAGACUAGCAGUUUCCAUCUUCCCGUGGGGGAGGUUACCAUCACCCUGGACGACAUGGCACCUCUUCUUCAUCUGCCCAUCAUUGGCAACUUCCAUACCUUCCAGCCUCUGCACGUCGACGAGGCGGUGUUGAUGUUGGUUUACUUACUAUUGGUCUCAGCAGAUGCAACCAGGGUCGAGACAGGACAUUGUCAUGGACCAUACGUACGCCUAUCUUGGCUACGAGAUAUAUAUCAGUGCAAAUGUCAGGCCAAACAUUGGACAGCUGCAACUCGUGCCUAUCUUCUUCUUCUUCUUCUAGGUUGCACUCUUUUUGCUAACAAGAGUGAAACCCAUGUUCGUGUUGUCUUCUUAGACGCUUUACGUGAUUGUUCAAAGUCCGACAAAUGCAUCGGAUCGCGCAAGUAGUAUAAAAUGGAGAAUUAUAAGCAAUUGGGCUUGGAUUCGGAAUUGGGCUGAACCGACUUGGACUUGAAGAGAGCAGACAAUUUUAUUUGUCGUCCAGUUUUAUUUUAUUUCAUUUUUGGGCUGUAUUUUUGUAAUUGGGCCACUAGACCUUAUUGGACCCAAAAAUCAGAUUUGUAAGCUUUGUGGCCUAGUGACCUUUUGUGAGCCCAACUACUAGGGUUUUAGGAGUGGUCCGGUUCCUGUUCACGGAGGGAGAGAUGGUAGGGUUUCAUUUUUAGUUUUUCGUGUUACUGUUCACGCGCAUAGUACUGUUCACGUAGCAACUCCACUUUCAUUUUCUGCUUUAAAUUCCAGUUUCAUUUUCA